rnacentral:rRNA from 1 species
CACGUACUGUGCGAACGUUAUUCGGAAUCACUGGGCUUAAAGGGUGCGUAGGCGGCUUUGUAAGUCAGUGGUGAAAUAUGGCAGCUUAACUGUCAGGGUGCCAUUGAUACUGCGGAGCUUGAGUACAGAUGAGGUAGGCGGAAUUGACGGUGUAGCGGUGAAAUGCUUAGAUAUCGUCAAGAACACCUAUAGCGAAGGCAGCUUACUAGGCUGUAACUGACGCUGAGGCACGAAAGUGUGGGGAUCAAACAGG